UAGGAGACCUCAUGGUUCAGACCUGUGUGUUUAACAAGAAGCCUGUUGGAAGUGAUAUAUGAAGCCACAAUAAAAAUCUAGGGCUGCCAACGCAAUUGAAACUUCUCACGCCACACGUUCCUUAUCUCACGCGGUAAAAACAUCUCGGAGCAAAGAGGACAUUGACAGCGCACGGACAGACAAGACAGAGCAGCCUGCAUGAUGCUGCGAGUUAUUCAGACCAAUCAGGGGGAGGAAUGUUUCCUGAACUUGGAGGCGCCCAUCAGCAGAGUAUGUGGUUAUGACACACCUUUCCCUCACAUCUUUUACAUCCCUGAUAAGUGGAAGUGCUUUGAAGCCAUCAAGCAUAUGAUCAACUUCUAAAACACAGAUGACACUGAUCAAGAAUGUUCUCUUCUUCUAUAUUGGUGAAUAAACCAGACAGUGAUGACCUCACCGUCACAGUUAGGUUGCUCCCUGAAGAGCGGACCAUGACAGGCUGCCAUUUUUUGGGCAACUUGGAUCUUUUAUCUGGAGAAUGUCAUUGGUCACUGGAUGAAACUUAUUUCAUGAACACUAAUAUGUUGACAUCAUAUGGGUACUUCAAUAUUGUAUCUAGUAUUUGGAUGUCUGUUCUCUUGCUGUUGACUUGGUCACAUUUUCCACUUUUUGUUGUGUUUUCUUAUGCUUAAUUGGGAGUCAGCCAAUUAAACGGCUGGAUUUUGCGGCGAUAUUAUUCUUGUCUACCCUUUUAUCCAUACCAUCCCAGUUCAAAAAGCUUUGGUUUAAUUGGACAAAUAGGUUCCGUUUCAAAACCUAGCGAGCUCAAAGAGCACUCCUGGCAUGCAGCAAAAUAGACUUGACAAAUGAUUUUCAUGUUAGCAUGUUGCCAAGCCAAUGACCUGAUACUCAAAGUACAAAAAUACAUAGCACAUACAAAUA